UACGUAGGGUGCGAGCGUUGUCCGGAAUUACUGGGCGUAAAGAGCUCGUAGGUGGUUUGUCGCGUUGUUCGUGAAAACUCACAGCUUAACUGUGGGCGUGCGGGCGAUACGGGCAGACUGGAGUACUGCAGGGGAGACUGGAAUUCCUGGUGUAGCGGUGGAAUGCGCAGAUAUCAGGGGGAACACCGGUGGCGAAGGCGGGUCUCUGGGCAGUAACUGACGCUGAGGAGCGAAAGCGUGGGGAGCGAACAGG
rnacentral:rRNA from 1 species